AGUGGCUCUGUCUCUUCAUCUCCUUCCUCUGUAUCUAUGUUCUGCAAUUUAGAGGGGGAAGUGCUGUUUUUGCAUUGUGUGAGUUGGAGUCCAGCUGUCUGGAAAACAGCUCUGCAGAGAAGGACACCAGGAUUCUGGUGCACAGCAAGUUAAGGAGCCAAUUGUGCACAGCCAAAGGUACUGACAAAUUGGAGCAAAGCCAGAGAAGGCUGCUGGGAUAGACAGGAGCUGGAGCACAC